UACGAACUGCGCAAACGUUAUUCGGAAUCACUGGGCUUACAGGGUGCGUAGGCGGCGGGGAAAGUAGGGUGUGAAAUGCCUUGGCUCAACCAAGGCACAGCGCUCUAAACUACCUCGCUCGAGUGAGUCAGGGGUACGCGGAACUUCCGGUGGAGCGGUGAAAUGUGUUGAUAUCGGAAGGAACACCGGUGGCGAAAGCGGCGUACUGGGGCUCAACUGACGCUCAGGCACGAAGGCUAGGGGAGCAAACGGG
rnacentral:rRNA from 1 species